ACACAUAAUUUUACCAUCAGAAUAAUUCCACUUCAAUACAUUGUAGUUGUUACGGUAAGGUUAAGUAAAAAUGAAAACCAAACUCUUAAUUUUAAUUUAAUCAUAUAGUUAAAGAAUUUCCAAAUAAGAAUAUGAACAAAAAUGUAAACAUCUAAUUCUAGCUAUUAUUCAAUUCCCAAAGCCACGUUACACAACAACACCAUCACAUGACUAACCACAAACAUAAACAGAAAAGAACCAGAUAGAAAAACAACAAGUACAACUGCAACAUAAUUAAUUAACACGCAGAUUUUUCAGCGGCGGGGAAUUAAACUAAAAUAAAAAAACAUGCAUAAUUAUUUUCAAUUUUCAUCCAUUUACUUCUUGGCAGUGGCGUUGUGGAUGGCCUGCUUCCCCUGCUCGACGUAGUGGGUGGUGCCGGCGACGACUGUGUCCUUAACGCCGAUCGCCCCCUCCUUGGUGUUGGCCACGAUCCCCGGGCCGGCCGGUGCAACCACGGCUGGCUUCUUCUCCUCGGCCUUGCCGCCGCCGGGCAUCAUGUCUUGGGCUUUCUUCAAUAGUCCGUCCAUAUCUAGUUAUAAACAAGUAGGAUUCAAAGAGAUGGGAAAUUGGUACGUAAGAGAUUUUAGUGUGUUUUGAUGGGUUUCAUGGGAUAUAUGGUACGUACUAGUUAUAUAGUGGUACAAAUUUUGGGAAGUUUGGAAGAUAUUUUGAUUGGCUUUUGCUGUGUGUGGCUUACAAUUGGCUUGCCGACAUCGAAAUGAACAGGUUCUACGUGAUAGUCUUUACACGUUGCUCUUUGCUGCUUUUUCUUUAACAUGAAUAUAUACUGAUAAAAGGUGGGACCAUUUAUGAGCCGGGCAGCUCGAUCGCAAGCAGUUCGGUUUAAAUAUUCGCUUUUGAAAUUGGUUUAAUUUGACCUGAUAGAUUCAUGAGCUAAUUCGAGUUCGAGAAUCAGGUCUAGUAUAUGGAUCAUUUGUAAAUUUAAUAAUGUAGUGUGUACAUGAUUGCUUCAAAUUACGUACGGUAAAUCACAUGUAAUUUGUAAUUAUGCUAAUGAAAAUACUGGUACAUCGUUUAAGUUUAAUUAACCAUCUUAAGUGGGAAAAGUAUAAACUUGUAAAGUUUUAGGAUAAUUUUUUCUUUUAGGUUUGACUCAUCGAAGUUUCUAGUGUACAAGCUUCCAAUUCUCCGUCCAAAUUGGACUCAUUGGGGGUUUUUUAAGAGUAAAGUUCGAGAUGACCUCGAGUUUCAUUCGCCAAGGUUAGUUAACGAGGCAAAUUUGAAUAAGCUCUAACUCGACAUAAGUUAAAAUAUUUUAACUCAAACACGUUUAAAAAAUAAUUAACUAAUAUUCUUAAACACGAUAAAUUUUGACUCGAAUCGAUUUGUAAACCGUCUUAAAAAUGAUGAUGAGUGAGAUUAUAUAUAUAGAUAAUUUGAAUGGUUUUAUGCAUAUAGAUUGAUAAUUUGGAUUAUUUUUUGUUAGUUGUGGUUUGCUUUGAGUGCCUUUUUUAACUUGUUGUGGAGUAGUCAUAAGAGUAGUAGCUUGCCACACACAGUCUAUACUCUGUACGAUGUGGCUUUAAUUGAUGGGAAGCCAAUCAAGAUCAUGGGUUGGUUUUUGUCAGCUUUUAUAAUAAUCUGACUGAAUUAUUUGAUUUUGAGUCAUAAUAUCUAACCGAAAAAUAUUUAGGAUAGGACCAGAAAAAGCCAACACAAGUAUAGUUGCCGACAUACNNNNNNNNNNNNNNNNNNNUAAUAAUGUCGACCACUGAGAGGUUUUGUGGAUAUGCUUUCGAGAUGCCUCAUAGCCAAUGCCAUAUUUUGCUUCUUCUUGGAAUUAUUUGUAAAAAUAUACUAAACCUACGGAAAUANNNNNNNNNNNNNNNNNNNNNNNNNNNNNNNNNNNNNNNNNNGGAAAUAUUAAAGUCGAUAAUCCGGAUUUGAAGGGUGCUUUGGUCUCAUUGUUUGUUUUAAGUAAAUUUUUAAAAUAUUUGUACAGUUCUCCAUUCUUAAUAUAGCUUACUUUUGUUGAUAAAAAAAAAUAAGGGGAACUAAUUUUUUCAUUUUCACCAAAUUCUAAUUUUAUUCCACAUUCCGCCUCAUAAAAUACCAACAGAUCACUAAUUUAUGAGGAAUGAGUGUUUAAAAAGAUACAUAUGUUGAUUUUAUGUUUAGCGAUGUGUGAUACACGAUUAAGUAUAUAAUUUACCAUCACAUUUUGUCGUACGUUGAUGUUUACGUUUACCCAUUUUGAUUGAUCCAAUGUAUAUGCUAUGAGUUUUUCAUGUUCCCCGCAUCCUCGGCUCGUUCAUUUCACAAAUAUAGGUUAGGUGCAUGAAACAGAUUUNNNNNNNNNNNNNNNNNNNNNNNNNNNNNNNACAGAUUUUAAUAUUAAUCGAUACAAUCCUUUCCAUAUAACUCAUUUUUAAAAAAUUUAGCUUCAAAGAAAAUGAUGUCCAAAAGAUUAUAAGCUCGAAUGCAUGACAUGUACCAUAAUUAGUUAUGUGAUACUAAUCAAUUAUCCGCGGCAGAAGUGUUAUUAAUUAAAAUAAAGAUCGAUUUAGUCUUCGGUUUUAGACAUUUUGGUGGUCGAAUACAAACUCUUGAUGAGUAACACAAAAUCCAAAUCCAAAAUCUAAAAUCCAAAAUUGAAAACCCAGUACUCUAGACGCUAAACUUUAAAAUCCAAAAUAAAAAAUCGAAACCAACCACUAAACCCAAACUCAAACCGAAACAAAUAAUAAAUUAAAUAAUUUUGUUGAAAAGACUUCCGUGUCCUUCUUAUGCAGACGUUAGAUCUGUCAAAGUGCAAAACCCAUAAAAUUUAACGGUCUAGAAUCAUCCUGGAAUGUUUUUCCGCCUGGAUUUUAAACCUGGCUCAAAAAGCUCGAUAGAACGAAUCGGGUAGAGCAACCGUAUAGAAUGUUUAUAUUGUUUGAUGUGCGUUAAUGAGAGUAAUGUUUUAAUCUCCCCGUGGCGAGCCCUGAGUGACUUGGGGGUGUCGAGACUAAUCAGGGUCGUUUGAGCGUCCAACUGUAAUCGAGGGAGAAAUCCUAGCGGGAAGGAAACCUUUCGACAGUUCGGCGCCUCGAGUGGCCAAGCUGUUGCUCCGAGGCUGAUAUAACUGAGAUUUUAUAAGUUAAUUAAAUUAAAAACAUGUUUUAAUUUAAUUAAACAAAUACCAUGAAAUAGUGAAGCAGAAAAAUCAAAACAGAAACAAAACACCACAAAAUGUGAGUACAAACUGGAAAAAGAAACACAUUACGGAGGUCGAUCGGUGAAGACGGUAGGGUAGUGAGCAUUUAAAUUGUUUCUCCUUCACUUUGUUUUAUUCCGAUGAUUUGAGUAAACAUCAAAGCUGUCCGAAACCGAUAGGAGAUACGAAUCUAGAGUCGUUCCCGAAAAACGCAUUGGCCGAUAAUUUGGUGACGAACUCCGUCGGGUGGAAGCCAUCCCAAAACAAAUGCUCGUCUCGAUUCUGACAAAGUGUAGAUGUUUGGUUGCACACCCCGCUUCCUUCUCCGCAACACGGGACUUCCACCUCCUUCAAACCUGCACAUCGGUUGUUCCAAGUAUGGAUAGUUGAUAUUCAUUAUUUGUUUUAGUAUAUAGUUGAGUCAUUAUUAACUAUAUUUUUACCAAAAUCGGCACCGUGGCUGAUGAAAUCCAUAGUGAUGUUGAAGGCGUUACCGAGGGAGAACUUAACGUCGGGAGCUAACUCCGCAAGCUUCUUAGAUGCCAGAGUGAAGCCGUCGAAGAAAGCUUGAGCCAGCAAAUUCGCUCCAUCGAAGCAGCCGCUGGUUUCAUUGAACGAUCGCGCAAAUGGGCAGCACCCAAGUGCCGGAAUCAUCACUAUGGCGAACUUCUUUGCUCCUUUUAUAUACAAUUCCUGCCCAAUGUAACGUAUUUCGGUAUCAUUCAUUCCGAAAUCAUUUUCUAACCACUCAAAUUAUAUUGAGAUUAAUUGGUCAAUAGUAUUAAAUAUUUUAUUUUAUUAUAGAUCCCACUUUACCAAAAAUCUAGCUAACCUGAAGAUGGCCUCCGUAUUCCGUAAUCAAAGAGGUGACCAACUCCUCGCCGGAGACGUUGAAAUUGGGAGCAGCGGGGAAGGAAGAGAUAUUCCGUAGGUAAUCGAAGAUGUCGUUGCUUCCAACGCUGAUGAGAAACACGGACUCCGCGAUCAGCUUGGCGGCUGCUGUCGGCCCUAACAAUGCUGACAGGUUUGCGGCUACCGUCGUAAAUUGUUCUAUCUGGGUUUUCAAAGGAACCACCUGCAAAACAUUUUGAUCCACCGAGAUUUGAGUUAUAGUACCAACAAUUUUUUGUAUCAGAUAUAUCGAACUGGUAAGGCUAAUUCAAUACUUACUCCGAUGGUAGAGCCGGUCGAGUCGAAAAUUCCACAGCCGGCCGAGGCGAAGUUGACGCCCUUCGUUAUGGUUUCGUUGAAUUUUUUACUGCAGGCCCCGCCGGCGACGAGAGAGAGGAACGGCGGCGGACUUCCGGUGAACCCCAUUUUCUUUCCUGUCGCGGGAAAAAAUGAAAUAGAAUAACGGUUAGUUCUACAUAGUCAAUGUGAGCUGUGAUCGAGCCCACGGGCCCAACAUGGUCUAUGGUAGUAAGCCCUCAAGCUCAAGAAGGAAGCUGCUGUUGAUUAGAGCGGGUCACGAAUCGCGCUGGGCCCAAUUUAGGUUCGUUAAUGUUUAGCGAAUUUGAGCAAGACAAUUUUGGUUUGUGUCGAGUUUGAGCUGACUCGUUAAAUAUCAUUGACGGGUCAAACUCGAGGUCAGCUCGAACUUCGUUCAUAAAAAUCUCUAAUGAAAAUCUAAUUUAAGCAAAAUUUAUAUGGAUAAGUCAAGUUAAAAAGGUGCUAUGAUGGUUACCAAUUUGGUCAGCAAGAUUGAAGCCAUUGCUGAACCUUCCAAUGGGCAAAGAAGAAGAAGAAUCAAUGCCAUAAAACGGGAAGCUAGCGGUCGCCGUGCUGGCCGGCAAGUAAUCAUUGGUCCCGACAUCGACUAUCGAGUCCCCAAAUACGUACACCGCCGGGAAAGUACAAGCUGACGGCGAUGAGCAUGAAACACAGAUGUGGUUGUUAUCAAUAUUGAGAACCAAGAAGCAAACAAGUAGUAUUGCCGACAAAACCCUGAAUUUCGUCGCCAUUAAUUUUUCAAUUCCUUUGUGUUUGGUUUGGGGGUUCUCGAUCCUGGGCGGCUCCUAUUUAUAAACGAGACACGUGUCUUUGAAUUCUAUGUCGAAUAUCUAUUUGCGGCUGAUUAAUUUACAAUUUACAUGUUUGUUUUUCUUUUCUCGUCCGGUUAUAAUUUAAUGUUACUUCAGAGGCGAGUUUUACGAUUGGAAGAACAUUUAGGUGUAGACGUCCAAGCCCUAGGUCGUCGGCGGAUCUUGUUAGAUUUUGUACUUUGGUGUUCUGUUUCUUCCUGCGGAAUGGACUAAUGAAGUUUUGUCAUUUUGAUUUCACUUUUUUUAUAUAGAGUUUUAUCGUAAAACCUUCAAUGAUAGAUUGUAAUCAUUAGUAAAAAAUAAAAUAGAAUAGCGCAACAUUUAAAUAAACAGUACGGAAAUAAUCAACAUUCGCAAAGAGAAGGUUAAACGCAGGAUGGAAACCAAAGGGAAGAGAGUGCUCAUAGUGGGCAAGGACAUUCACGACGUGCGCGGUUGCUUUCACGAAAAAGUGUGUGUGAUAUGCACAACUCAAUUUCUCUUCAGGAGUUGCUGCGUCUCCAUAAUGUAAGAGAGAUGUCGAAAAUCAUCAGAAGGGUGAUCUCCCAGAACACUUGAAAUUGUACAUUGAGAAUCCAGUUGCAAGGUCACCUUUCAAAAGCCCCGAUCCCAAGCAAGUACAGUAGGGUUUACAAGGAGAGAGUGAGUGAACUUCGCAAGUAUAGACCUUAGAGAGUGGUUUACAAAUGAUUAUUUUCUGAGUUGCGCGAUAAUUAGUGGUUUGGGAGAGCGGCUUAGCUUGUCACCUAAAAUUUAUUACGAUCUACUGGUCUAGUUGGUUCGCAAGUUUGAGUCAACUCGAAUCGAGCUAUGAAGACGAAUCAAAAUUACCUCAAGUUCAACUCAUUUAAUUUACUAUUAAAUCAAACCUUUUCGAACUUUAUAAUAGUUUUCGAAACCAAAUACGGGACGGCGGACGAAUAGCUUGUAAAUACAAAGAGUUAGCCGGUGAGAAUAAAUGCUGCUAAAUGCUGUAUAUUAACCAACGGGCAAAACAAAAGCAUACGUGGGGAAUCGAUAAGAAUUAAGAUGAAUAAGAGUACAAGAUGAUCAUUUGAUCAUGCACUUCGAUGUAAUAUGUCGGAUGACUUCUGGGGACUAUACAUUACUUUAAAUAAUGACACACACUUCUUACCAAUAAUAAUAAUAAUAAUAAUAAUGACACACACUAACUACACUUUAUAUUAUUAUUGUAUUCUUCCGAACAACAUUGGUGUAUUUUAGGACAUUUUGGAUAGUCAUGUUUGGAAUUUUUGGGUAUAUUUUUCGUGUGGAUUUACAGUAUAUGAUUUUUUUACGAUAAUUCGAUAAAUAUCCACAUCACAUGCAGACGGUAUCAUAAAUACAUAGCUACCCCUUUACAUAAGUCAGUCAGUGAUAAAACGAUCAGCAUUGUCACAUUUAUUUUUAGUUAUAAAAUAUUCUUGUUAAUGUACGAUAAAUGUUGGUGAUAAAACGGUGUUAUAUCCACCACCGACGAUUUUUGCCGUCCUUUUCUCUUCCAAUUUUUAUUAAGAAUCGUUUGGUCCCAAUAAUACUUGAGUUUAAUAUAGAUUUUUAAAAUACAUAGAUACAUAGCACAUGAUUCAUAUUCAUUAUUCAUCAGCUGAUCAAGCAACCAACUGCAAAAACUAACCAUCUAGAUAGUACUUUAGAUGUUUUAUUUUCCAUUGGAAGACCACCCUCGAAUUUCAACAGCUCAACUUGUUAACCAGCUGUUUCAAACUCACACCCUCGCCAACAUCCUUCCUAACCUGUUCCUUAAUCUCCCCAGCAACCUUCCUCAGCUUCACAUCCUCCAUCAACACCUUAAUCCUCUCCCCAAUCUCUUCCCCCUUCACCAAGAAAUCUCCCAUCCAACCCCAUUCCCCACCCAUAAACCCUAGCCCACACCUCUCCACCACCUCCCCAUUGACCAUCUGAUCUCCACCAGGCGGCCACCCCAUCAUAGGAACACCAAACCACGCAGAUUCCACCACAGAGUUCCACCCGCAAUGGCUCAAAAACCCUCCCACCGAUUCGUGCCCAAUCACUUCGGCUUGAUCCACCCACUCCUUCACCACCACCCCUCUCUUCCCAACCUCCUCCGUCAUCUCCUCUCCCAAAACAUCUUCCAACGCCUCUUUGUCGUUUUGGUCCACCACUUUGUCCUUCACCACCCAGACGAAAUGAACCCCUGACCGGAUCAGCCCUUUUCCCAACUCCUUGAUCUGGUCUCUUGGCAGAGUCGUCCUGCUCCCGAAGCUCACGUACACAACGGAUUUCGCUGGCUUCCCUUCUAACCACUUCAACGCCAUUUCUGUUCCUGUUGUUGGAAUAAAAAUCACUAGUUUACCAAUUGUGUUUAUUGUGUCAUGGCCUCAUGGGUACUAAAAUGUUAUGAUAUAAAGUGUAGAAUAUCCUAAAAUUCAUCAAUAAUUAAACGAGGGGCUAAACUGUAAAUGACAAAAUAGCUACCACCAUUGGUUAUAGACAGGGUUAUGGUCCCCAAGAAUCGGAUACCAACUCAUUUUUUCAUAUCCAAUUAAAGAAAUUUUAAGAAAGAGAGAAAACUACAUUCUUCAUCAAAGAUCUUUCUGUACUUCCUGCAUUUGUUCUUCCAUUAUAGCAUGAAAUUAAUGACUCUGCUACUAAGGCAUCGAUUUUAGGUCGAAACUGGACCAAUUUAUAAUACGUGCGUCCAAUUCUGUCGAAUAUGUUAUCUGAACACAAAACAUGACCGGGUUCAAUUUAGAAUAAUUGCAAAUUCCAACUUGAAUAUGAACAUAAUUGUUUAUUUAUCGAUAUUUUCAUGCAAAGGUUUAAGGGGCAAUAAAGACAAAACACCUGAGCCUCUUUCUAACUUGGUCUCGAACCCAUGGGGGAUCAGUCCGAUGUUGAACAGAGGAGGUAAACGGUCAUCUACUUCCCCUGUUCUGAUCGCUUUCAGAGCUUCAGAUUCCAGGCAGUCAAACGAGUUUAUCACCACUCCGUCGAAUUUGGAGAGGCACUCGCCGCUGGAUUUGAACAAGCUGGAGAACAGAGUCUCCGGGUUCAGAAGCACCGGCGGGACCGACGAUCUCGGCACGUCUCCAAUUCCGGGGACUUCGAAUUUCCCGGCGGAUUCGAGUUGGGUUUUGGAUAAACUAGGGUAAUGGGAGAGAAAAGAGAACAUUCUGGCCGAGGACACGUAGAGGAUGUAGUUAGGGAUGUUGAGAGGUUGGGUGACGGAGAUGGUGGAGGAGAGUAAGGAUACGUCGGAGAACAGAGCAGCUGGCGGCGGGGAAAGGGAAGAGAGGAUGGAAGAUAAGUUUGGGAGGGAUCGGCGAAUGGCUUCCCACUGGAGGCAAAAGGGGUCGGUGGAGUUGGCGGUGGACGGGUCUAUCGGGAGGAUGUGGAAUUGCUGCUCGGAGACUUGUGGGUAAGCGGCGAGGAAUUUGGAGAUUAGUGAUGACUCUGCCUGAGAUACGAUUGGGUGGCUGGUGAUUAGGGUGACGUGGCAGUCUUGACUCAGUAAGUUUGCGGCUAGGCGGAGGAAUGGCAUGAGGUGGCCGGCGCCAGAGCUUGGGAGUAGGGCGACGUGGGGAGAGGGCCGGCGAUGGAGGGAAUCGGCGGUGGUUGUUGUUGACAUGGCGGCGGCUUUGAAUUGGAAUGGUAGUCGGAGGGGGGGAAGGUUGAGGUUUUGGUGAUCGAAUGAGCGACGUAGUUGGAUGCUUUUGUAGGAGUUUUGUCGGUAGCGGUGAAAACGAUUUUUUACUGCGGAACACCGUUAAAAAAAAUAUGUUAAUUGUUUCGGAAUUCAUAUAAGGAAGUUACAAAAUUUAUUGUUGCUCACUUAUAGGUUAUAUUUGGUCGCGUACAUCUUUGUUGUUGAUUGGUUGGCGUGAACUCUAAAAAUAUGUUUCAAUUUGACCCCUUAGACGAUAUGAUAUGAGCAAUAUUACCUCGUGGUAAAACAAUAUUACCAUGAACAACAUUCAAUUUGACACCUUUAUCUUGGUUGUUGGUUGCGGUUAGGAGAGUUUAAUAUUUCAUAAAUGCAAAUUUCAACUGUGAUGGAGUUGAAAGUGACUCCCUUUAACUGCAAUUUGCAGCAGAACUUGAUUUCAUUUUCAUAAUUAAUAUAUAUAGUAAUAAUUGUCUAAAUUGGAAUUUUGAUUUUAAAUCUUAUUUAUUUGUAUUAGCAUCAUUCUUCGUCUCCAAUUCAACAAACUUAUAUAUGGUGUAUAUAUAAGUUUGGAUCACUAUUAAUAAGACUACCCCACCAACCCAACCACUCCCAUUAAAUUAUUAUUGUGCCCUGUACACCCUGCAAUGGUCCACUGUGUUUAUGAGCAUUGCAUGGAAUGCGGAUCCAAGAUCAAACCAUACACCGAGCUAAAUAUUGAAAUUUAUAUAUCAAAAUAAUCCAUUUAUAAAUAUAUAUUUUUUAUUAUUUUUAGAGAAGCUAAUCAAGUGGCACACCGUUUGGCUCAUCUGCUGCCCAUUCAUUCGUGUUUUUGUGAUUGGACUGCUUUUUUUUCUUCCAUCGGCCAUUGUCAAUGUGGUAGCCUGCGAAACGAUUCACUCAUUAUUCUUAAUGUAAGUUGUUUUUCAUAAAAAAAAGUUGUCCUUAAAGAUUAAAUAUAUCAUCAAUAACUUUUUUUACUAACCAAACAGUGGGCAAGCUGAAAUUAGGAUUAGCAUAUAUUGAGUAGGUAUUUAGCCGAAACAACAAAAUAUUUAACCGAAUUUAAAAUUACCAUGAACCAUAUUCAAAAUAAUUAUAAAUAUAUAUUGAAAUUAGGAUUAGAGCCGAAAUUUAUCUAGAGCCGUGACUAUAUAGUCACCCCUAUAUCGGUCCCUGUAAUGCAAUCAAUGAAUAAGACAUUCUUCCCGUGAAUGUUGAAACAAGCAAGGACGGUAUAUAUAUUUCCUCUGGAACUUUUUCCAUUCACUUGUGACCAACUCAUCGGUUCCAGAAGAUAAUAUUUCAAGGACCAACUUUCCUGUCACAAAUAAUAGUUGUUGGCGACACUGAAAUCUGUCGUUGAUAAUGUAAUUUCCCGACGACCAAAAGAUUCAUCCCAGAAGGUUAGUAGUUUUAGUUCUAUGGCAAACGGAUGAUCAUAUUUCAGAUGUAUGAGGAUUUUAAUUAAUCGAACAUUCAGAGUUUUUAUCUUGGAUUUUUGACCUUACCUCCAACCCGUUAAGGUAAAACAACAUUUUUUUUUUAUAUUUUUCGAUAAAUCUGUCGUUUGUCCAUUUCGACAAAAAAUCCUCCAAUUUCAAAAUUUCAAUACUCUUUUUUCUUUUUUAAUUUAUGCUUCAUCAUCGUCAAUAUCUCCUUUUUCUUCUUUGAUGUAGUAGAUAAUCAAUCAAUGAUUCUUCAUUAUUAGUUAUCAGAGUUUGUGAUUCAUCAAACUUAAAGAGUAUUUGGUUGGUUUUCCAGUUAAUAAUAACUGAGGGUUAAAAACAUCAAUUCAAUCAAAUAUAAUAAUGGUAUUAAAUCAAAUUUAAUAACUUUUUACUGUAGCGGUUAUUAACAAUUAAACAAUAGAUAUACACUAACUGAAAUCGAUCCGAACUGUUGCCAAACCUACCCUUUGCCACGAAAAUGACCACAUCGAUAGGACACGAAGUCGGAGAAUUCAAAAUUUAAAUUGUGAAUCAGCCGCACAAAUACGGUGCGUUUUAGCUUUUAUUUCUUGUUGUUUAAGCCAGAAAAGAAAAAAGGGUAAGCAAGUCAAUAUUCUCUUUCACCGCUUUCUCAAACUCCCCGGAAAAACCUCUUCUAAACCUCCUUUCUAGAGUUCUCUCAUCAACACCGCCGGCGAUUGAGAUGGAGAUAGAUCCUCCGAUGCAAGCUUCCGAGCUCUCUCAGAUCAAAGACGAAGACCUCUUCAAAGCCGCCGAGACCGGCGAGUGUUCGGUCCUCAGCUCGCUCCCUCCGCCGCAGCUCACCAAAUCCCUCUCCCUCCGGAACGAUGACCGCCGCUCCCUCCUCCACGUCGCCUCUUCCUCCUCCUCCACGUCGCCUCUUCCUCCGGCCACCCCGAGGUACUCCGAUUCGUGAAUCGAUUUCCAAAUUUGUUAUGUUCGUUGCUAAUGCGAAACCAAAUUUGAUAAUUAUCAGGCGGUGAAGAUUCUGUUGGAGGUUGAAGGAUCUGAAAGCGUUGUGAACAGCACGGACGAGGAAGGUUGGGCGCCGCUGCACUCCGCCUCUAGCAUUGGAAGUGUUCCGAUCGUCGAGAUUUUGUUGAGCAAAGGUAAAGAAGAGGAACAUGUAGUGUUAGUUGGAAGUGCCCGUAGUUUGAAUUGAUUUGAUGACUGGGAGGAUUUUGAAUAGGGGCGGAUGUGAAUUUGAAGAACGAUGGAGGACGAACUGCGCUCCACUAUGCUGCGAGCAAGGGAUGGUUGAAGAUUGCUGAAGUGUUGAUUGCACAUGGUGCUAAAUUGAACGUGAAGGACAAGGCUUGUAAACUUUACUUGACUGUGAUUUGAAUGUGAAUAGCUCGUUUUGUGAAGCUACAUUGUCUUAAUACGGUUUCUCUAAUGCUGUAUUCAGGUAGGAUGCACACCAUUGCAUCGAGCAGCGAGUGUCGGGAAGGCGGAGUUGUGCGAAUUCUUAGUUGAGGAAGGAGCAGAGGUUGACGCUGUGGAUAGAGCUGGUCAAACACCUCUUAUGAAUGCUGUGAUAUGCGAUAAUAGAGAGGUGAGCUUUGGCCAAAAUGCUUUAGAUUUUUCUAUGUUUCUCAAAUGGUAGCCCUUUACUGUCAAUUGGAAGUUCUUUCUGAAUGCUUGCUGUAAACAGGUAGCUCUUCUUCUAAUAAGGCAUGGAGCAGAUGUGGAUGCGGAGGACAAAGAAGAAUACACUGUGCUUGGUCGAGCUUCGCGCGACUUUAGGGAUAUUCUCAUUGAUGCUGCAAAAGCCAUGCUUGAAGGGUGAAGCCUUCCCUGGUAACAUAACUUAGGUUUGGCUCUCCAAUCAGUUGAUUGGUUAUACUAUCCGAACACAUGCUUGUAUGGAUCCUGUAGCAGGGAACAUCUUUCAUCCUCGGUUUUAGUAGCUUCUCCAAGUUUUUUUCUAGCUACAUACAGUUUUGUUAACUCCUUUUAUCAGAAAGGUUGAUAGAAUCUUGAUAACCACAUUUGAAGCUCUAGAAUCUGAGGCAGUUUCCGAUGCCAGAAAGUAUGGAGGUAAUACCUAACUUGCCUCGGAUUCUUGAACUCACACACACCCAUGUGAGUUCAAGCCUGAGGGACUCCGCGAGCCAGUGAGAUGGCUCGAGUGGCUCGUUCGUCAGGUCUGUAGUAUAUGCUUGGUUUCGGCAUUAGGACAGCGUUACCGAUAAUAGACUUGAUAGUUCAACCACAAACACAAAAGAAAGAACGAAGAAUCUAUCGUCUCAGACUGGUAUAAGUAUCGGAAUAUGAAUCAAUCAUCACUACUCUCUUUGUUUCUUUACAGCUAAGGUUCUCAUGCUUAUUCAAUCUACGGGUACUAAUUACUAACUUGGUAGGUUAGUUUCCACACCUAACACAUUCAGUGUGCAUUUAUGAGCGUUGUACAUUGUUUUCAGUAAGAUGCCAAUGUCGAAUUAAAUGUCAUCCAUACCGGAUGAUAAUAAUUUACGGUUUAGCCCUCACUCGACUAGAGCUACCAUGAUCAUGUUUAUAUUUUAUACGUCGAACACAUUUAUGCCAUCCGAUUACUGCUUCAAAUCAUCCGAGAUUGCUACUAUGUGUAGUAAGUUUUCUACUAUAGUAAAUGUUGAAUUACCCGGGAAGUGAGAAACUAUAAUAGCGAUACUAAUCGAAACCUAAUGUCUGCAUUUGAUCAAUUCGAUCCAAUAUGAUGUCACCGAUCGAUUUCGACAAGAGUAAAUAUCGAAUUACGUGAGAGAUUACAAAAAAUUAUCGUGGUAUUGAAGUUUAGUGGAAAAUGGAAAUGGGUGAUGGAAGAAUUGUACUAUGAAUUGACGACAUGGUAUGAUCGUAGCCACAAGAUCCACCUAACCGAACUACCCAAGAAAAACAAAACCAUCUACAUAACCUACAAGUCCGAACUACUACGUAACACACUCUUCUAACUCGCACUUCAAACUCCCUCCCUCUGACCACCGUCAAACAAAAACCAAUGACAACCUCCGACGACCACCGCCCCCACGUAGCCCUUCUCCCAAGCUCCGGCGCCGGCCACCUCAUGCCAUUCCUCCGUCUAGCAGCAACCUUACUCGCCAAAAAUGUCCGAGUCACCUUAAUCACCAGCCACCCAAUCGUCACCGAUGCUGAGUCAUCUCUGAUUUCCCAUUUCCUCGCCGCCUUCCCACAAGUCUCGGAGCAGCAAUUCCACAUCCUCCCCAUAGACCCAUCCACCGCCAACUCCACCGACCCAUUCUUCCUCCAGUGGGAAUCCAUCCGCCGCUCCCUCCACCUCCUCUCCUCCAUCCUCUCUUCCCUGUCCCCGCCGCCGGCAGCCAUGGUCUCCGACAUAACCUUAAUCUCCUCCACCAUCUCCGUCUCCCAGGAGCUUCAAAUCCCCAACUACGUUCUCUUCACUUCCUCCGCCAGAAUGCUAUCUUUGGUAACCCGUUACCCUGCCUUCACCAAAACCCAGAUCGAAUCCGCCGACAAGUUCGAAAUCUCGGGAAUCGGAGACUUACCCAGAUCGUCGAUCCCGCCGUUGCUUCUAAAGCCGGAGUCUUUAUUCGCAACCAUGUUCAAAUCUAACAGCGAGAAUCUCCGCAAGUUCGACGGAAUCCUGAUCAACACGUUUGACAGGCUGGAAUCUAAAGCUCUGUCAGCGAUCAGGAAAGGGGAAGUUGCAGAUGGGUUGCCGCAUUUGUUCAAUGUCGGAUUGAUUCCUCACGAUUUCGAGAGGAAAUUAGGAGUCGGAGGAAGGAGGACGGGAGAGGUGAUGAAAUGGUUGGAUGGGAAGGAGGCGAAUUCGGUGGUGUAUGUGAGCUUUGGAAGCAGGACGGCUCUGUCGAGAGAUCAGAUUAAGGAGCUGGGGAAAGGGUUGGUUGAGUCAGGGUUUGGGUUUGUUUGGGUGAUGAAGGAUAAAGUGGUGGACAAGGAAGAUGGGGAGAGAUUGGAGGAUGUUUUGGGAGAGGAGAUGAUGAAGGAGGUUGGGGAAAGAGGGUUAGUGGUGAAGGAAUGGGUGGAUCAAGUUGAAGUGAUUGGGCAUGAUUCGGUUGGUGGGUUUGUGAGCCAUUGUGGGUGGAACUCUGUGGUGGAAGCUGCAUGGGCUGGGGUGCCUGUGCUAGCUUGGCCGCUUCAUGGAGAUCAGAGGAUCAAUGGGGAAGUGGUGGAAGGGUGUGGGUUGGGGUUUGUGGGUGGGGGGAAUUGGGGGUUGGGUUUGGUUAAGGGGGAGGAGAUUGGGGUUAGGAUUAAGGAGUUGAUGGGUGCUGAGAAGAAGGUGAGGGAAUUGGCUAAGGAGAUUAGGGUUGAGGUUAGGGGUGAUGUUGGGGUUGGUGGGAGGUGUGAUUUGGGUUUGGAUUUGUUGGUUGAGAAGUGGAGUACUUGAACAAGUGUUUUCCACUUAGGGGUUGUGGUCCAAUUGACAGGUUGGAUCUUUAAUAAUGUUACAUUUUUAGAUUAUGUUUGUUACUACACAAGGAAGUUUAAUUGAGUUGAUUAAAGAGCAUUUAGGAAUGUUAUGUUGCUUAAUGGUUACACCCACCAAACAAGCUUAAUGGAUCCAUUAUAGUGUACUUUUCUACUAGUGAUACCACGAUUACGAAGUCCUCAUUCCCACCAAAACGAGGUUCAAUCAAUUCAUAAUAACCACAUGAAAAUGGUACCAAUAUGGUUAACCAUGCCCAUUUAAAAUGAAUAAUCAUAUUUUCUUAGUCCCAAAAAUAAAAUACAAAUACUAUUAAGUGUUUAUACAUAAAGUGUUAAAACUCCAUCUUAAUAUAUUCGAAAUCUCUAACUACAAAACACAAUACGAUAUUUUAAUGGAGCAUGAAACACCAUCUCCCCCAUCUUCCCAGUUUAAUAUAUCUUGAGCCAGAUUCACAGUAGUUCCUCCCUAAAUUACCCAGCUCUGAGAGGCACUUAUUCAAUCAAGAACUCCACUUGUCAACCAACAAAUUCAAACCCACAUCACACUUCCCGCCAACUCCAACAGCACCCCUAACAUGAACCCUAAUCUCCUUAGCAACUACACUAUCUGCUUCAGAAGAUCACACAUGUGUUGCUGCAGAUGGCUUACAUAUAAAAGGAACUGCUGUAAGUAUUAUAUUUUACAUUCAGGGACUAUUAAUUACUCUAUUAGUUGAUAUGUUUUCCAAACUUCUUUUGCUCACAAAACAUACUUCCAUAUUUUCUAUGUUUGUUCAUCCAAAUUGCUGUUUUCUUCUUGUCCACAUUUCUGCUGUCAGUAUUAUUUUGUGAUUCAUUCAUCUAUCAUUCUAAACAUUAACACAGGUUGAAAGGUCACCAGAUGAUAUAGUUGAAAGCCUGGAUAUUCCAACAUCAGCAAAUGGGAAAGAUAGACAUGAAUGUUACCAAAACAAAACAUUAAUCGUGCCUAAGAAUUUUCUUUGUGUACCUGAUACCUUGGAUCCCAUGGAAGGUAAUAUUCUAUCUAGUUAUCAUUACGUUUCGAGUGAUUGACCUAACAACAAAACUGUUUCCCAACACAGAACUGGUCUGAUGUUUGUUAUACUACAGAGUACGCACCAAAUGCUCAGGGGCACAGUACAUGCUUUGACAAAGAACAAUCAUCAAUUGACACUUCCAUUUCAGAAAGAGUGGUUUCUGAAUCAAAUCAAGGAGAUGAAAUAACCACAGGGAUGUCACACGUAGGCAUUGACAAGGAAGAGCCAAUUGUAGCUGACACUUUCAUGUCUGAAGAAGCGCUUUCUGAACCAUAUAUGGAGGAUGAACUGGCUGCAGGAAGUUCAAGUGGAAGCUCUGCGAAGUUUGACUCUGAUUCAGCUGGUCAAGACACAGCAAAUUUAAUGACGACACUUCUGCUUCCACAAGCAAUUCCUCUUCUUAAGGAAUCCUCGGACAAGAAAAGGAAAUCCAAUGCCAUGGCGAAAAACUUUAUUCCUAGAACAAAACCUCAGGAGGAAAAUGAAGAAAUUUCUUAUGUUCAAUUGUCUAAAAUCCAGCAAACUGAGGCUGUUGUUGUAGACAGUUUUGAGGACAAACAAUGUGAGGAUUAUGUUCUAGGACAACCUGUGCUUCUCUCUGACAAUGCCAAAGAACAAUCCGGUGAUAGGGAAGAUGAAAGAAUUCCUCACACUUCUGACGGCCCUCUAGAUCUAGAAUUAAGGGAGGCAGAUAGGGAAAUCUCUGUACCGUCAUCCAAAUCCAUUGCUACAGGAGCAAGGACAACUGAAACCAAGAAGCAAGGCCUUUGUCCAGGUGACAGAAAGGUAUAUACGAGAAAAAAGACUGCUGCUAAAGCAGUAAAGCACAGUGAUCCCUUGUCAGAAAGCAUAAUAUGCAGAAACUAUGGAGAAGGUUGUGAUCCACGAUCUAUUCUCGAUUCUGAACCUUUGAAUGUCAGCCCCUCCAUUGGUGAUGCACAUCAAAAGGAUCUGUCCAAGGAUAGAAUCGGUACUGGAGGGCACCCCCAUUCUUUAGAAGUGGAGAAAAUCACCACGAGUUGCAGGCCUGAGUCAGAUGAUCUACCUAUUUGUGUGUCAACUGAAGGCGAAGGAACUUCAGACGUGCCUAUUUUGUGUGUUCCAGUUUCAGAAGAAAUCCAAUUUAAUUGCAAAGAUAGGUUGGUAGAGCACAGUGCCUUGGUGCAUAUCGAUGGUUCCUUAAUAUCACAGCAAAGAAAUGGGGAUGGAUACAUCAGGUGGUAUAGAAGUUCAAGAUAAUGCUGACCUGAAGCUCCAAAGCAAUUUUGAGCUUCACUUUAACUUAGAGGGCAUUGCUGAGAUUGUGGGCUGCUAUAUCCACCCGCUUCCUGUUUUGCAGCUAUGGUUGAGCUCACAAGAAAAUGAAAUCUACAUUUGUGCCCCAUGUGGCAUUCUGGCGGAUAAACACAGGACCUUGUUUCUUUAUAAGUUAGCCACUAAAGCCCUAACUGCCGGAUGCCCAUCCUUUGUUGGUCAUACGACGGUCAAUUGGCCAUCUCCAGUGCAUAUGUUUGGUAAAGUAAGAUCCCGUUUCCAUAUUUGAAUUGGAUCUUGUGUGCGAAUUUAUGUCAGGGUGCUUACCCUCGCGCUCCUCUUUCUAGGUUGCGCCGGAAAGGUCCAGUUUUCAACUAACCCCAGACGGGCAAUUAUUUGUUCUACAUGGCAGCACGAAAGUUCCUUGUUGCAGGUUGAAAUUUCUCUGGUUCACAUUUCAUAUUUCCCGGUAACAUAAACUAUGCUUCUCCACCUAACACUACGCUCAUUCUCAGAGAAGGGAGAACGGAUGGUUUAUGCUCUACAUGUGAAGCAGAUAGCUGUAGUACCAGCUCUGUGAAGAUUGUACGAGUAUAUUUCGGACAUGUAUCAGUCUUGUUGGAAUUGAGGGCAGAUGAAGAAAUCGAAUGCAUCCUUGUCUGUGAACCUAAUAAUCUAGUUGCUGCUGUUGAAAGCGGCAAACUGCAUUUGUGGACCAUGGAUUCUACGUGGAGGUGAGCUUUAUCUAACUGUCAAACGUUCGGUUCCCUUUCUGCGAAUGCUCUCCUGUAUAUCUCAUCGAGUACUGCACUACUGUUCUCAUCGUCUUAUCAAUUUCUCUGUCUGCAGCACUUCAAAGGAGGAGCACACUAUAUCAAACACGGGUUACUAUUCUCCUCGAAUUGUGGAGUUAAAGAGGAUUCCUAAACCUGAAUCUCUAGUUCUAGGCCACGAUGGCUUUGAGGAAUUUACACUAUGGUAUGUCCUUUAAUGCAUCUAGACAUGUUUAUAAUGAUUCUGUUCCUUGACAUGGUUCCUUGACAUUGUAUUUUGUGUAUGUUCUUUCAAUCUAUGUUGUAUCCUUACUCACCCAACUAUCAUGAUCAGUCUACUGUUCUGCAUUUUCUUAUAACCAUAGUAUGCCAGCAUAUGUACUCUUCUGAUAAACUCGGGAAAAUGCAAUGUUUACUAAAUUGUAAAGCAUCAAGUUUACAUUCCUGCACAUGAGUAGUUGGCGCUCCUCUCCGUCUCCCUUCAGAAUGCCAUUUUCAAACUGGUUCCGUUGCCGUUUCAGAAUGAGCUGAUAUGUAGUAUGCAGAUUCUAACUCUUUCCUGUAACUCUUUCAGGGACAUCUCCAGACGAACCUUUGUUUUGAGAUUCUCCUCUCCAGGAACUUCAAUCCAUGCGUUCAACCCUAUCAGCUGGUUCAGCUGGCAACCACAGCUCACUGCCCAGAGGACCGUACCAGCAGAAUGAUGGAAGCCACAAAAUCAUCAUUAACAGAUCGUCCGUUCCCUCACAAUGAAGGUGAAGAUAUCGCCAUCUGGCUUCUCGUCUCAACCAACAACGCAACCGACCGUCCAACAGAUGAUCCAGUGGUAUCCUGGAGGCUGGCUCUAAUGGCCCAAAAUACCAUGAUCCUCGGACCCACGUUGGAUCCAGGGUGAGUUAGAAUUUUCUAAGUUGGAACUUUGGAGACAAUUGUCAGUAAUUCUGAGACUUGGUGAAUCUCUUGCUUUUUUUACAGGGCAGUAGCUGUCGGCGCAAUAGUUGGCCGUGGAGUCAUUGCCACUGACGAUGGAGUUGUGAGCAUGUGGGACUUGUUGACAGGGAACAGACUCGGCAGUCUCCAUCAUUUCAAAGGUAAGCUUUUGGUCGGUUGAUUUCCAUCGAACUGAACUGUGGAGCGUGGACAGUGGAGCUGCACCUUUUGGUUCGAAUCGAAUUGCAAGAUUUGUGAUUUUGAUUUGGUUUGGAAAAAAACCCACGUUGACAGUGACUGGUGGUUUUGUAAUUUUGGUGAUAUAUCCCAGAUGGAAGGGUUUCGUGCAUUGCAACAGACGAUUCAUCAUCAAGCUCGAGUUGUUUUGCCGUUGGUAGCGAAACAGGUCAGUUAGUGGUCUAUCGACACUUGUAAAUUGGCCUCCAAGAGGCUGUAGUUUUCCCAUUAGGAGUAAUUUGUAUGUUUUAACAUCAACAUUUUUUAACUGCCAACACUGUAAAAAGGUGAGUUUUCCUAUCACAUUAUGAAGUAAAAAGCUUCAAGACAUAGAGAAAAAAGCUUUAACAAUUUGUAAUUUUUAAUCUCGUUGAAUCCCUUUGAAACCAUGAUUAUAAUAAAAAAAAUGUUUCGAUCAUGGUUCAAACUCACGACCACAAAGUUAAGAGUUUUGUGCUCGAGGAACUGCACCAAGCCUAGCUAACUCAGGAACGAAAACAUCUGCAUUCUUUCUCAUAAAAAAAACUUUGAAAUUGUUGGUGUACGAAAAUGGAUUAAAUAUAUUGCACUAAUAAACCAUAGUAAAUUGGUAUAAGAAAGUUGACUUAAUUAUUUUCAUUAUGGUUUUGCGGUGAUAAUCACCAAACAAUAGUGAUUUUAAGUGUGGCGGACUACCGCCACUUCCAACCUACCUGGAAAAUAUUUACAGUGUGUUGUUUAUUAAUGCAAUAUAUUUACUCCAUUCUCGUCCGCUGCACCCAAUAGUAAUUUUGUCUCCUGUCAUCGAUUAGCAUGCUGAAUUCAGUGACAUCCUCAAUCCCUCCGUUGGCAGCUCGAACUACCUCUUGGCAAUCGGAUUCAAUCUCCACUGUACCAAAAGAUCAAGAUCCCUGGAGCUAAGCCACUCAAUGGUAUUCAGUAAAGCCAUCGCUUCACUCUCUCUACCAUCUCGAUAGCCCUGGAAGCUCCGUUGUCUUGACACGAUGAGCGAGUCUGCCACGUCCCGGAUGACUGCACCACUGCCCAAUCGAGUCUUUCAAAUCACAUUUUGAUAACCAGUGAUCAGACCCCAUCUAAUACCGUGGGCCCAAAAAACAAGCCUUAGGCCCAGAGAAUUAUAACUGGCUGGGAAAUGAAUUAGCUGCUGCACUUUAGGGUUUUCAGAAGCAAAAGCACCCCCUAUAUAAACUCGCGUAGCUUCAGCUCCAAUAAUUGAGUCAUUCAUUCAUCUUCUUCGCCGUUGCAGUCUGAAAUGGUUCUUCCCACUGUUUUUAUUCGAUCUAGUUUUCCUGUGCUUUUUAUAGGAUCGUCUCUUCGAAUUCGAUCUGUUAGUCCUCUGUUUUCUAGUUAUUUUUCCAAUUGAUCGGCUCUAUAUCACGAGUCAACAGCAGGCGCCUUCCAAUGGCGACCCGACUGCCGCUUAGAGCCAAAAUUAAAAAUUUUAGUUUCCGGAAGAAGACCCUUGAAACCUAUAAUAUCCGUUUGUUUCAAGAUACAAUAGCCCGGUUACAUUUCUGCUCUGCAGAUGAGAUAUAUAAUUUUCUUCAAAUCUGGCUUUUCUUGAAAACAAAAAAGAUUUGUGUAUGGAGGUGGCAUUGAAGUCAGACACGGAUGUUUCGGGGUUGGUAAACAGUGCCCAAUUCAUCUUUUGCAUGGUGCCGAAAUGCAGGUGCUUCUUAUCACGAUUGGAGGGAGUUUUUCCUACUCUGUAACUUCCCUUCAAAUUCCAAGAAGCCAUAUCUCGCCUUACACUACUUCUUUUACCAUUUUUGUUCUUGCCUGAUUCUUUUUUUCCCUUGAAUUUAAUAUAAAUUUAAGCAGUAUUCUAUGUCAAUGAAGUACUAAACCCAGAUUCUUUCACCUGGCUAUGUUUGUUGGAUGGAAUUAUUGAUAGAAUUUGAUGGGAAGUGACCAUAUUGUAGGAGGAUUAAAUAUAAGGUUAAGAACCUUACGUUCUAUGAACUGAGCUUAGACAGACUAGAUUAUUGGAGUUAAAGUAUAUAUUUUUAAUGUUAUUGAUUCCCGUUGAUCCCUUAGGAUGGAAUGUUCAUGCUCAAACUGUCGGAAACCUGUAUGCCCACUGUGUGGCUAGAACCCGCGAUCAUGAGAUAAAGAGGGCUCGAGCCCACCACCACCCCAAAGUUAAAGAGUCUUGUACUCUACUGACUGAGAGACAACAUGGCUUGUUGGCACAACAUACCACCUUUCACGGGGUCGAACACCAGCUCUCUUAGUAUGGCAUUUACUUGUGCCAGGGUGAGAAUUUUGAGUUCGUGACUGCCUGACUGGAGGAAAGCUAAAGAAAACAGACGACAAAAAGAGAACGAAAGUGACGUGAAAUACAACUGCAUGUUUGAGAAGUAGACUUGCAGUCACACUUCUGCCGUGUGAAUCAUACGUUACAGAACAUAGAUACAAUGUUAGAGACAGCCAUGACAACAUAUCUUUCAAAAGAAAUCUAGUGGCACGUGGAAAUGCAGAGCUAAAACGUCACAGCAGGUGAAAACAGCUACAACAUAGACUUGGCAUCACUGAGAUCGAAAUAAAACCUCUUUAAUCCGAUACGAUUCUUGCAAAUGCCGAGACCAAAAUGGGAAAUCAAAAUAACACAGUAUAAUCACUCAACAACCUGUAACAAACAUUAUGCAGCAACUAACAAUAAAUAACAUGAUAAAGAUUAAUACUAUGGAAAAUCUCCGCAAGUAAAAACUCUCUCUGUGACCUUAAAAAAAGAUUAAUACUAAGUAAAGUCUUGCUCUACUUGGUGGCUCAUUUAGCAAUGGCGGAUGCUGGAGUGUCGGAGGAAGGGUUCAGUUCAUCCCAAGCUUCGAUCCAGGUAACCAUAGCAUCUGCAAGUUUUUCGAAGUAAGGAUCCACCUUCCCCAGCUUCUCCUUGACUUCCUUGGAGAGCUCGAUGUAGCAUUUCUGGACAGAGGUUGCUUCCUUGGAGAGCUUCACAGAUUGGAAGAAUGGGAUGAUCUCUUCCUGCCAGUAUAUCCCUUUAUACUCCUUUUUCAGGUUCACAAAUGGGUUGCUGGCCUUGCUAUGCCAUAUGUACGGCAGCCCUGUCUUGAUCCCCCAUCCCAUAUGGUCACAGAUCACCUGCAUCGAAUAGACGAAGAUGAAUUACCUCAUAGCAAAUAGGGCCGGGCCAAUCUGCAAUGUGGUGACUAUUAUCGAUAAGCAGUAAAGAUUGUUUCUUUCACCUUAACCAACCCUAAACCCAGUAGACUAUAUAGUCUAAUAGGGUCAAAUCUACGAUACGAUGACUAAUGUUGAUGAGCAGUAAAGACCGUUUCAUUUACCUUGACACACCAACCGGCCCACAUGUCAUCGUAUCGGCCGAUUGGCUGACCAUCUCCCAUUAGUCCAAAGUACAAUGCAGGUCCGACGAGUUCACGGUCGAACGCUAAGUUCAUGCCACACAUUGGGAACAGGGUUCCCUUGGGGAUCGUCAGGACAGCAUCAACAUACCUGCAUUGUCCAUAAAAUUAAAUCCCAUAACAUUAAAUCAUUAAAAUCUAGAAACCCCCGAAAACAAUUCAUCACCAAGGGCAUGAAAUACUGGCGAAACCUACCUGGUGUUCCUUUCCAGUGGCUUCACAAGCUGAGUAGGAGCAUCAUAAUCAGGGAUGUUAAGCCACAGACCAUGAGAGACUGCAGUGGUAACACCUUCACGGAGACUGAAAGGAUACCCGCGAACAAAGUCAGCACCUUCUCUGUACGGAUCGUAGAGGGUGUUGAAGAAGUGUGGAGUCGAUGGAGACAAAAGGUUUUUGAUGUGCUGCUCCAGUGCAUUGAUCUGCUGUCCCGAGGGAUCCGAGGCCACCUGCAAUCAAACAAAAUCACACAACAAGCCUCUCAAGAACAGAUUAAACCCUAUGAAAUCAAGCUGAGAGGGCCAUGAAUUGAAAGUUGAUACCAGGUCUGCUUCUUAUAUAUCAACAAGGACUUGCCAUUUUGAACUUGUUCAAGCCCAUGAACCACAUUCAAGCUCUCCAAUUCGCUAUCACUAAUCUCUUUCGGGGAAAGCCAAUCACUCUCCAAGAUUAUAAGUAUUAAGGAAUACAAUAUAAACCAAUUUUGAACUUGUUCUAAACAACUCGAGUUAUUAGAGCCUUUGAGUGAAAGUUUGAAUCAUACUAGUGCCAACAUAACCAAUUCAGGUGCACGAUGAUACAUAGACCAAAUCGAGUUAUUAAGAUGCAAUGGUUCUCUAUGCUGAUCAAUCAUCUUAACCAGUCAUCUAAUCACAGAGAGUUCAGAUCGAGAACUAGCUAUCGAAAUUAGACAGUUGACAGUAAUCAUUAACAAGCAAGCAACCAAGUCAAACGCAAGUCAAAACACACAAUCAAUUCAACCAUAAUGUUUUUCAAAUUUUCAAUCAAGAGUGAAUAACUUACGAAGCAAUCGUCAUCAAUGGUGUAGAUGUACUUCUUCUUGGACACCAUGAACCCGAAGCACCUGCAAGCGGAAUCCUUGAAGGAAAUGCAAGAAGCCUUCGGACCCAGAAUCCUGUUGAUGUCGUUCCUGUUGUAGAGUUCAUAGUCAAAUCCUUCGGGGACUUUGAUGACCUUGGACGGAUCCCCAUCUUGGACGAUGAUGAGAUGGUAAGGCUGGAAGAAGGGCCUCCAUUUCUCCAAGAAGUCCAGGUUCCGGAUCGUCGGGAUCACGAUAUCAAGCUCGUCUUGAACUGGAAUACAAAAAUCAAGUAUAUAACCAUAAUCCUAAACCGAGUACAACAAACUUAAUACUAAAAAUUAAGUACAAAUUAAACGAUUGAGUACAUAACCCACAACAACAAUUAAAUAAAGUACAUAAGCUUAACAAAAAAAAUUAAACCGAAUAUAAAACCUUAACAAACUGAAUGCACUAACAAAAUCAAAACAAAAAGAACUUAGAGAAAUGAAGAGGCAAUUAAAAAUAUGAGAGUGACAAUUAAGAAUUGACUCCACGAAAAAAGGAUGAGAGUGAGGAUGAGAAGAAGAGAGUGAGGAUGAAUGGACUUCCAAAAGAAAGAAGAAAUAGAGAAGAAGAAGAAGAAGAAGAGAAAAAGAAGUAAGAAAAUGAAAUAAAAAGCCAUGUGAGCGGUUAGAUUGAAUAAUUAAAUGGACAGUUGAGAUUUUUCCUUGCUGCGGCAAGGAUUUCUAUCUUAUUUGUUGUUGACCCGUAAUCGUCAUGGAUCUCUGCUUUGUUUUUUUCUCCAGUUUGAUGAAUGUUGGAUUGUUGGGCUUAUUAGAUAAAAUAUCAGAUGCUUAUAUGGGCUAUUAGGCUGGGCCUAUAACAUUUAUUCACUCCUCCCUCCUGGGGUUUUAGGCGAUUGUUAACCCAUUAUCAUUUUUUUAAUCCAAGAUAUAUACACAAGAGAGUAUUAAUGAACAAUAACUGUAAAUCUGACGGGCCUAUGUCGAGAUCGAGAUAAUUAAGAAUCUAACGUGUUAUAAGGUUGGUGGUGAUGCUAUUUUGGCGUUAAAUUUCCUCUAAUAAUGAUUAUAUGUACCCUUAAAGUAAAUUGGGUUCAAAUUAUGUAUAUAAAGCCGGUGCCCCGAAAGCUUGCCCGCCCCAACCCGAUUUGAUCGGAUUAUUGACCCGGGUUUACCUGCCACCCUGAUCUAUUGGGUUUGGGCAGGGUUUCGGAAGGUCCAAAUCCGCCUCGGCAACCCGAAGGGGGUAAUUGUUAGGAUUUUUCCGCGAUUUCCUAGUCCCCUACUCCCCCUAAUCAAUCUUCCCCCGCACCGCAACGCCAUCAUGACUACAAUAGUAGGUAGAAUUUUAGGGAAGAAGGAAACCCAGAUUUGAAAUGGUUCAAUUAAAGGACAAGCCUGAGAUGCCUUAGUUAACUAGCAUUGGUGGUAGCUGCUAAAGAGGUACAUUCUGUUCAUGAGUUUUUCUUAAACUUAUCAUUCAUAAUUAAUGUUGUUAUGGCUUCUUGCAGGCAUUAUGAUGAGUUUAGAGAUCGCAAGUAAGCUGGUAUUGGAUGAACUUGAAUCUGAUACAGAUUCUAACCAUAUCAAUAUUCUACCACGAGCUUGUAAUAUUCGCCAGAGUUCACAUUUAAAUUUAAUAUCUAUCCUUAUCCGCUUAUAUAAUUCAACUUACAGUGUGCUAGAGAACAUAAAAGGGAUGUUGUAACUAACUUUAGCCAUGUUGCCUAUAUGCAUGGUUUCAUAAACACACUAAGUUUAUGUUAUAAAUUGAAAAGAAAUGAAUUAUAAAGUAAAAGGACGGAGAUGCAAAACCAGAGAGGUAUUUGUUGUGGUGAAGUGGAGGCCAAGCAAAGAAGCUUUCUUCCCCAAUCCAUCCCCUACUACUCUUUUAAUUCUCAGCUCUAAAGCACCCACUUCCUAACCCAGCCAAUCUCUCUUUCUUUCCAAACCGUAGCUGUCAACACCAUCUUCCCAAUCACUCCGCAAAGUUGUUUACCAGUUCUCUGGUCUAAUUUUAGCUCUAAUUUCCAGCGGGGGUUACGUACUGGCAAGAUCACUACAUUGUCACCCACAAAUUAAAUGGGAUCGAACGAAGGUGUGAUGAAGCGGUCGGAAGUUGACACUCGGGCGCCGUUCCGAUCUGUUAAAGAGGCGGUCACGUUGUUCGGAGAGAAAGUUUUGGCCGGCGAGCUUUACCCCAACAACAUGCUUAAACAGGUGGUGUUUCACUUUGUAGAUUGAUUAACGAGUCUGGACACAGGGAUAUUGCUUCUCGAAUUCAAUUUAAGAUCAAUCUGGAUCCUCGGAUUUCUAUAUGAUUUGAGGGUUAAGAUUAAUCAGGGGUAAUAUAGUUAUGUUGUUUUAAAUAAUUUUGUUGGACUAGAACCCAACCAUCUCCUGUCACCGGAAAGUUUUCAAUUAAUUUCUCGGGGAUGUGGACAGCGUUGGUGAAAUUUUUUGCACCCACGUGAUCACCUUCGUUGACUCUAUGUUUCUUGAAAACUUCUAUUUUUCUGGAAACAUUCUCCGAUGACGGACCGUACAACUUUAUAUGUAGAGUUGUAUGAAUCAUGCAAAUAUAUAUAGGUUUGUACAAACCCGUACAUAAAUGUAUAUACAUUUAUAUGAAUUUUUUACAAAGUGUAAUACUAUGAUAGUUAAUAAACACAUUUCUAAUGACUGAAAUUUCAAUUUUACCCUUAAACACAUUUCUAAUGACUGAAAUGUCAAUUUUACCCUCGUGAUUUCAGCCGUUAAAUCUAAUGCACGAUUUGUAAGACGGCUUAGAUUUAUGCGGGUUUAAUGGAUCCGAUCAAGAAGUCAUUUUAUUGACUUCAGAUUUGGACUGUUGAUAAACUGACGUCCAGUAUAAGGGAAAGUGCAAUAUAGCCACUGAAUUAGUUUUUCUAAUCAAGACCAUGCAGCAGGUUGGUCGUAAUGGAAAGCUAGACACAAUGACAUGUCAGCUGGAAGAAACAAAACAGAGCCUGGAAAAGGCAAAGGAGGAAAGCACACAAAUGGCGAGCUGCCUCUCCCAUCUUAAACAAGAGCUUGAACAAACAAAGCAAGAGCUCCAAAGACUCAAACAGGUGAAGGAAGUCCAGAUGAAGCAAUCGACCAUCUCGAUUGACCCGCAAUCCGACAUCCACCAUGGCCAACAAGACGUGAAACUAGUGACGGUACCAGAUGAAGAUGUGGAGUUUCAGAAGAAGAGGUACGUGACAUUUGCUAAUAAUGAAGGAGUAUUUGAUAAUGAUCGGAGGCUGGAGAGACAUCCUUCUUUGAGAAAGAAGAAGAAGAAGCCGUUGAUUCCUUUGAUUAUUGGAGGACUCUUCUCCUCUUCUAAGAGAAAGGGACACCAUCACCACCACCAUGAAAUUGCUUAAAGUUUGCUGUAGGUGCAUAGUCUGAAUAAUCUUUCUCGUGUGAGACGAUGACUUCUGUUGUACUUUUUUGGCCCCCAAUAUUCCAGUUCAAGAACUUGUACACUUACCAACUUAAACAUGUGUGCAUAGGUAAAACAAAAGAUAACAAUGCAUGAAAAAAGGAAAGAGGCUAGGAGCUAAUUAACACAAUAGUGAAAAUCUCUAAGUAUAAUUAUCUUCCCGAUAGACGGCUGAAGCAAUCAAACACCAGAAUAUUGCGUGAUUUCCAAGUCAUGUAACCAGUUACCGAAGAUCACAUACGAUCGAUACCAGUUACAGACGAUUAUAACAUGUUAUAUGCGAUUAUAAUCAGUUAUAUAUGAUUAUAUAUUACAUAUGAUUAUAACUCAUUACAUAUGAUUAUAACAUGUUACUCAUUUAACAAGUUAUAGACGAUUAUAAUUAGUAACUUGUUAUAUAAAUGAUCAUAACAUGUUACCCACUUGUUGUCAACCCCAGAUUUCCCGUCCCCGGCCCCGAAGGAAAAAUGGGGAUAGAUUUGAUACCGUCCCGUCCCCGUCGGAGACCUGGAUUUCUAGAUUUUACCCGUUUGGUAGAACAAAAAAAAGCAUGAAAACCAAAACAUAAAAACAUGAGUAUGAGCAACAAAGUAUCAUAAUAUCAAGUCUGUUCCAUGAAAAUUGGAAAUCAAACAUCAAGUCUAUUCAAACCCAGAAUUACUCGAAAAUAGUAAAAACGAAGGCCGCACAUCAAUGCUUCAACUGUUUUAUGAUGUAGUCGGCUGCGAUGAGGAUCAAGUAAUCGACUCCCCUAAACUGAAAGCUGAUUCUAAAACCACAUAUGUGAUUGGCACAACAAAGAAAUCCAACUAUUGUCGACAUAAUGAUCAGUAACAACCAUAUAUCCCUUUUUUGGCAAUUAUCCGACUACUUUUUUGACAAAAAUUUAUAACUAAUUAUAUUUUGUUAAUAACUAAUCAUAAUUAUAACCAAUUAUAUUUCAUAAUAACUAGUUAUAAUUACCCUUUAAAUAACUUGGUUAUAAUAAUAACUAGUUAUCAAAAUAUAUAACCAAUUGUAUAAAAUUUAAUUAAUUAUAAAUUAUAACUGGCGUUAAUAAAUGCUUAUAACUCGUUAUAUUUAACAUCUAACCGAUUAUUAAAAAAUACUUAUAUAAAUAAUUAUGAAUAAUUCCUUUUUCAGCUCCUAACCUUUUUAUGGCUUUAUGCGGUUUCGUUUUUUUCAAAUUUAGUCCUUCACUUUUGAAUUUUUGCAAAACAGCCCAUUGUCCUUAAUUGUAAAAAGUUCAAAAGUUACUGACCACGGAAGUAAAGUUCAAAAGUCUCAAACAAUAUGCAGAUUGGUCACUUAAAUUCUGAAAAGUGCUGGAUGGUCACUCUCCCUACCAAAUCUGAACAUCAUCGCCGACGAGUCUCACCGUGGCAUCUUCAUCUCCUCCUCCCCGAUGACGACGACUUGACCUCUGCUCACACCGUCCCAGAUUCAACCAGAUAUGGAGGCGUCGCAAUUUUCAACCGGAUCUUCAUCGGAUCUCAACCUCCUCUGCCGAAGUUCGUCGACUUAAUUGGCACUGGCAUUAGUAUUUCAGGUGCAUCCGUAUCGGUCAACUCUAUUUGACCGGGUAAUUUCAGCUUGUGAUGGGUGGGUUUCGGGUGGGUACCUAAGUACUGGGUUGGGUUUUCCAUCCUUAUUAAAUAGAAAAAUCAUACAUACAAUCAAUUAAUGGCAUCUCAUGCCCAAUAUAAACAAUAUAUAUAAUUUAUUUUCAUGCAUAUAAUUGUCUUCUUUAUAGACAUAUAUAAACUCGAUUCCUCACACCUAUAUAUCAAGUAUUCAUAAAUUUGGUCUCAACGACAGAGAGUUGGUAAACCCAUGCCGUCCUCUCACCAUAUUAAGCUCACUCCGUAUCAAACACACACUCAUGUGUUCAUACUUCAUACAAUAUGUGAGUCUUAAACACUUCUUCAUAUCCGAAAGAUUGUGUGACAUGUAAAAAUUUAGAGGAAAGUUUCGAUCUUCUUUUUUAUUGAGCGUGGCUCGAAAAUAAGAAAAUUCUUAAAAAAUAAGGAUAGAGAAGAUAAUGCAUACUCCAAUACAGAACAAUAAACCCUAAAGAAAAGUUGUGAUUUUAUUUACGAUAGAGCAUUUCUCGAACUUUCCAAUCACAUCAUACACGGUCCAGUAUAGAAUAUACGAAUCACUAAUAAGAACAUCAUAGACAUUACAGACAACUAAACUGCCAUCGACUGAAUGACUAAUUACCUUCUUAAUAGAUACGAUUGAAGCUUUGUUUACGUCAAUUUUUGGGUUUUCAUGAACUCAGGUCCAAGUCUGAGGAACUCAGUGGUCUCGCCGACAAAUGGGAAUCCAAGGGUUCCAGGAGGCAAUCCUUUCUUCUUGUACCUGAUGUCAUUCCAUUUGAAGACAAUGAAAAUGCAGGAGAUGAAUGCCAGGAUCAGAUCAUAGGCUAACCCAAACAAAGCCAUUGUUGAAUCUUGUUUGCUAGUUUGUUCUCCUGUUUCUUUUGAUAUUGUGAUGAAUUUAUAUGCCAUCAGGAUAAUCCUAUUCACUAAGUUGCCUUGUUAUAAAUUUGUAGUAAAUGGAAACCAAAUUAAUCAUAUUUUCUUUUACAUUAAUUGGAAAUCUGAAUUUGUUCCACUUCAUAGUGGUCAUACUUAUUAAAUAGUUAAAUCUUAUCAGGAAGAGUACCAAACUUUUCCGAUUCUGUUUCCUGCAAACUCUAAUCCUUUGAACAGAACAGAAUGUUCAAAGGAUUUGCAGUAAUGUUAGGAUAAAAAGUUGCAGCCUUUUGUGGGAAGCUUUGUCUGAAAUUUACCCUUUGCUAUUAUCCAUGAACCAUUUUAUAUCAAAGAAAAUUACCAACGUCUCGGUUCAAUGACUACGAGUUCAAUCUAUUUUUCACUUGUACCGGAUCGAGACUUCAGUAUUCAUAAAUGUACGGUUAGCAACAGUUCAGGUACACAGUUGAAUCGAUUUUUCCAUUUAGGCGGUUUUAAAUGGUAUCAUGGAUACCGGAAUCCAACUUACACUCAUAUCUGCCGAUUUUCGGUUAUAACCGCAGGCUUAAUUUUGAUUUUGAUCAAGACUUCAUCAUUCUCAGACCAACUAACUAGGCUUUUUCUUUCUAACGCAGUAACACUGCUGUAAUAAUCCUGAACUAACAUGAGAGGAUUUCUCUGUACACAUUGCAUUCCGUAUCAGGUCAAUGGACACAACAAUACUUUUGCAAAGACAUGGAACUCCAUCCAUAGCUUUCCUAUAGUCGGGAGCUUAGUUCAAUCUCUUUGGAUGCUGCAGUUCGAUUGUUACUGCUAUCUUGAGAGCAUAUGUAAGAAAGUGAUUGCAUCCAAGAGACCAGUGAAGGCUUGCGAAUCACGUCAUCAGAUUCAGCGACAUGUUCAUAUAGCUCGUCAAGGAUCGUGUUUUGGCCAUCUUUAGGUAGCUGGAUGAUCAGCUGCGCCAGUUGCUUCAUCAGGUAAGGUAGCACCUGGAAAUGGAAUGGUAGAAUCAUGAAUGUACGGUAUCAGCAAGUUCAAAUUUACUUUAUUUUUGUUUUUUCUGUAGCUAGUGUGACAGUUCUGUGAUGCUUACUUGAAUAUCGACGAGGGAAACGAAUCGAAGAAGCAUAUCGAAAACCUUCUUGCAAGGCUCCAACUCUCCUUGCCAGUUCUUCCAGGAAUCAGCAUUUUCCAUGGAGACGUUCGAACAGAGGUUCUGUGCCUUUUCGACGAUGCUGUGGAUGCAGUAGAAUAUGGCUGGGCUUCCUGCUGGGAGAUUCUGGAUCAAAUGUGCGAACCCAGAUGCCAUACCGUCGAAAGGAGUAGAGCCCGGAUAGUCCUGGUCAUGAUCAAGAGAAAAAUAAUCAGUUACCAAGAUUAAAGCUUUCUGAAAAUUUGGAAAUUUGGUCUCUUUUUACUUACUGAGAGAGAUUUCUGCACAUAGUAAAAAGCAAGUUGCUCCUUCAAUGAUACUGUUUCGCCACCAUCCGACUCCUUACCCAAAGAAACGAAUGCCACGAACAUAGAAUGCGAGGCUCGAGCUAUCUGCCCAUGUGGAUGUUCCAUAUAUCUGACAGCAUCUAUGUAAAGGAACCAAAAUUAAGGCUAUCUGAUUAAGAACAUCAUAAAAACAAAGUGCCUUUUGAAGGAUACAAGAACAUAGUUGGAGCCACCACGUUGCUGAAUAGAUCUGCAGGAAGGCGCUCGAUGCACGUAGGAAUAACGCGCAGGUAAAACAAUAUCCUGGAAGUCUGCACUUCAUCCUUCAACCAAGUAUAUUGCACUUGCUGAUGGAAAUCUGGAGACAUAUCAUUCGGAACUCUUAGUGGAUCAGAGUAUGCAAAAAGUAACUUGAUGAGAAUCGACUCUUUUCAGUACGAAACGUGUUACCUUUAGGGUUUGUCAGAUCAGCAUAACAAGGCAUGGAUUCCACGAAAGAGCUGCAAGCAGCCUCAUUCUCCUGUACACUUACAACGACACCUCGUAUCGUGUCCAUAUACUCAGGUAAGCGAAUACGACGAAAGUACUCCAUGCAAGAGAACGAGACUAAUAUCGAUACUGAUGUCUUCAUCAGAGUUUCGAGGGAGAAGCUUGAGCUCAACUUGUGCUUACUAACAGUCAAGGCAAAAACAACAACCAUAAGGAAGGAAGACUCAGCAAUUUUCUCAAUAUUCGCAAGCAACGGAUCUUCUCUACCACGAAGCAAUAAAGCUGCCCGCCGAUGGCCUGAAUAUAUCUCUUGGCAGAAGCGCCAAACCGCAUUCUCAACGAUGUUCUUGCCCUCUUCAUCUGCUGAGACAUACUGGUUGCAGAAAACAGCACUUACGGCCCCUGCUUCUUUGAAAAGAACACUAUUCAGGUGAUUGUUUACUUCGUCGAACUCCAGUAGUGGUGAACUGACUGAAGCAACAAUUCUCGUGUAAAAACCUCGCAAAGGGAAUAUCUCGGUCAGUAAUGCUGUAGCAAGAGACAGUAGCAGAGGAACUCGGGAAGAUACUGAGCCAGCUCGAGCUAAAGCUAAAGAAACACACUGGAAUAGAAGACUGGUUGAACCAUCAUUGACCUUAGCGUUUAAUUUCUGUGCGAUGGAUUCUAGCAUAUAUUCUGAAGAAGCCCUCAAUCUGGAAACCAAAUCCAACCGUUGACCAAUCGGAACCGAUCUAUUUAAUGCUCUGAGAACACCUCCUGCAGCCAUAAUAAGGGAAAAUGGUGGAUAGUCUGGUUUUCGGGUUUCGAGAACCUCUUUUGUAAAAGUUUCUAGCUUUUCCUGAGAACCUAAUUUCAUGAUACCAGGUAUAACCCAUUCUACCAAAUGCAAAAUCAUGAGACCGUUUGUUAAGCUACUACACGGUCCGUCUUCCUUUCCCCAAAUCCCCAUUAACGAAUCCAAAACCCUAUGAUAGUGUACAUUCACGGAAGAACACAAGGCAUACCCGAUCCCGGCAAGAAACACUUCAACUGAACGAGCCAGUCUAUAGUCUUCCUCCAACAGUCUCGAAACCAAAUCUAGACAUACUGUUUUAGAACGUUCCGAUGCAGAGGUCACAUAUGAAAGGGCACCUAGAAGAAGAAUUGUAUACGAAAAUAACACCGAGUCCUUUGUAGCUCCAUAUUCGCUCGCCACAAACUUGGACAAGACCUCUGCAGCUGAAUCUAUUACCAUAGAAGAUGGUCUAGAGGACUUCAUAACCCAGACAUAUAGCAGCCGGAGCAAAAGAGGAUGUGCUUCGCUAGGAAGAGCGAGUUUCUCCAAAAUGGCAAGUAAAAGCUUUGCUUGAGGAUCAGCAACGUAAAGAGAAUCUUCGGAGUCUCUCAGAAGGGUCAAAGACUGCAGGUGACGGGGUUGGAAUACUUGGCUGUGAAGGCAGUCUCUAAGAUCAGCCCAUGCUUGAAUGAUGUUACCAGUAGACGAAGAGGAAAACUGGCUUGUGGUGGUACUGCUACUGCUACUGCUACUGCCACUAAUGCUGUUGCGGCAUUUCUCCCGCUUGUGGUGGGACUGCUACUUCUACUGCUCCUGCCACUAAUGCUGCUGAGCCAUUUCUCGAGAAAUAGAGUGUUUCUUUGUCUAGACAUCUUGUUACUGUCACAAUUGAAAUUUGAACACACCAGUUUUUGUUCAAACUGAUCUAGAGGUUCACUUUUCCACCAGCACUAAAAGCAUUUGCUCCUCUCCCUUCACAUCUACAAACACCAUUCACAAAUAGUAGGUCUUAUUCAUUGCAGUAAUCACACUCUAACUACAUUACUUAUGAAGCACAUUGACAGUUUUUCUUUUCUAACUAGUUUUGAC
rnacentral:lncRNA from 1 species